GACGAACGCUGGCGGCGUGCUUAACACAUGCAAGUCGAACGGACGGGCCCUGCUUUUGUGGGGUGCUCGAGUGGCGCACGGGUGAGUAACACGUGAGUAACCUGCCCUUGACUUUGGGAUAACUUCAGGAAACUGCGGCUCAUACCGGGUAGGAGCUCCUGCUGCAUGGUGGGGGUUGGAAAGUUUCGGCGGUUGGGGAUCGACUCGCGGCUUAUCCGCUUGUUUGUGUGGUAGUGGCUUACCAAGGCUUUGACGGGUAGCCGGCCUGAGAGGGUGACCGGCGACAUUGGGACUGAGAGACGGCCCAGACUCCUACGGGAGGCAGCAGUGGGGAAUAUUGCGCAAUGGGCGGAAGCCUGAUGCAGCAACGCCGCGUGCGGGAUGACGGCCUUCGGGGUGUAAACCGCUUUCGCCUGUGACGAAGCGUGAGUGACGGUAAUGGGUAAAGAAGCACCGGCUAACUACGUG
rnacentral:rRNA from 1 species